UGCCAGAGGGCAUUAUCCCUCCGGCACUCGGGUCCCUCGAACCCCCCACCCUUGUCCACUUCUACCUUUGUUGCCUCGGCGGGUCCGCCCGCCAGAGGACCACAACCAAAACUCUUGUUAAGAAACAACGUCCUGUCUGAGCUAUAGCAAAAGCAAUAGUUUAAAACUUUCAACAACGGAUCUCUUGGUUCUGGCAUCGAUGAAGAACGCAGCGAAAUGCGAUAAGUAGUGUGAAUUGCAGAAUUCAGUGAAUCAUCGAAUCUUUGAACGCACAUUGCGCCCCUUGGUAUCCCGAGGGGCAUGCCUGUUCGAGCGUCAUUAUCACCACUCAAGCCUGGCUUGGUGUUGGGUGCCGCCCCGCCCUCUGCGGCGCGGGCGCUCCCUAAAACUAUCGGCGGUGCAGCACCGGCUUCGAGCGUAGCAGACCUUCGCUUUCUGGGGCCCGGUGCGGCAGCGGCCGCGACGACACAACCUCUAGGUUGACCUCGGAUCAGGUAGGGAUACCCGCUGAACUUAAGCAUAUCAAUAAGCGGAGGAAAAGAAACCAACAGGGAUUGCCUUAGUAACGGCGAGUGAAGCGGCAACAGCUCAAAUUUGAAAUCUGGCUCCCCUGGGGGCCCGAGUUGUAAUUUGUAGAGGAUGCUUCGGCGUGGGCCCCGGUCUAAGUUCCUUGGAACAGGACGUCACAGAGGGUGAGAAUCCCGUACGUGGCCGUGGGCACUCGCCAUGUGAAGCUCCUUCGACGAGUCGAGUUGUUUGGGAAUGCAGCUCUAAAUGGGAGGUAAAUUUCUUCUAAAGCUAAAUAUUGGCCAGAGACCGAUAGCGCACAAGUAGAGUGAUCGAAAGAUGAAAAGCACUUUGGAAAGAGAGUCAAAAAGUACGUGAAAUUGUUGAAAGGGAAGCGCUUGCAACCAGACCUGCCUGCGGUUGCUCAUCCGGGCUCCUGCCCGGUGCACUCUUCCGCAGUCAGGCCAGCAUCAGUUCUGGCGGUCGGAUAAAGGCGGCGGGAAUGUGGCUCCUCUCGGGGAGUGUUAUAGCCCGCCGUGCAAUGCGGCCAGCCGGGACUGAGGUCCGCGC
rnacentral:rRNA from 1 species